UUCGUAGGGUGCAAGCGUUAAUCGGAAUUACUGGGCGUAAAGCGUGCGCAGGCGGUGAUGUAAGACAGGCGUGAAAUCCCCGGGCUUAACCUGGGAACUGCAUUUGUGACUGCAUCGCUGGAGUGCGGCAGAGGGGGAUGGAAUUCCGCGUGUAGCAGUGAAAUGCGUAGAUAUGCGGAGGAACACCGAUGGCGAAGGCAAUCCCCUGGGCCGGCACUGACGCUCAUGCACGAAAGCGUGGGGAGCAAACAGG
rnacentral:rRNA from 1 species